rnacentral:rRNA from 1 species
UAAGUUUGACGAUAAGAGGAACCACUUAAAAAUAAAAAAAUUAUGGUGGUGUCACAAAAUCGGAGGCCACGACUGUUUACUAAAAACACAAUUCAGAGCAAUGAUGAAAAUCAUAGUAUUCUGGAUGAAAUUUGCCCGAUGCCAUUAACAUAAAAGAGGUAAUGGGAAACUGUUACUAAUUGAAAGUCUGGUUAAUAGCGGUCUUAACUAUGAGGAUCCUAAGGUAGCAAAAUAAAUUGGCCAUUAAAUGUGGUCUGGUAUCAAUAGUGUAACGAUGGUCUCACUGUCUCUACAACUUGCUCAGUGAAAUUGAAUUAUCCGUGCAGAUGCGGAUUGCCUCCAGGUGGACGGG